CUGAGUCAACCUUGAGCCGGUGAGGAUUGAAGGAAUCGAACUCCUGGCAGUGUGAGCAGAGUUAGCCUGCAAUACUCCAUUCUAACCACUAUGCCACCCUGGCUUCUGAUGUGUACCAAGGAUUCUACACAAUUUUUAAAUUAUUUGUAAUAUCUACAUAUAGGUGCCCCUCUUUUAACAACUCUGGGUGGCUUGCAUGCAACAAAACAGUAAAAAAUAGUAUAAAUGGUAUAGAAAGCAACAGCAAUCUAUAUACUACUUAAAACUCUCAUGUCUGUAACAUUUAACUUGGUGAAGGGCUGCAUCACAGAGUAGUUUUUUUUUUCAGCCAAGGUACCACAAAUUUACAGAAUGCAUUCAAAAUCUGGGAGCCAUAACUCCUACGGAAUUAAAAUUUGGUAAAUUUUAUAAAACAUUUUAUGACAUAAAAAUCAUCAUAAAGCAUUUUAUGACACAAUAUAAAGUGUCAUAGGACAUUUCCUGUGGUCAACUCUUGAUGUUUGAUGGUGCUAUAGAGUUCAACAUGGGCUGUUUUCAAGGCAGAUACACCCAUGGAUUUCUUCAUGAGUUUUCUAAUGAACUUUUUAAGUACAUUAGAAGCUCUGAUAUUGAUGAAGGCAUUGAGGAAUCCAGCAAGGAAAUAUCUCUGAAAUGAUGACCCAAGUGGAUCACAGGUUGUCUUGUCAAAAAAAAAAAAAAAAAGCAUGGUAGGACAGCGACACUUCUUCGAUGCACCCACCUUCUCAUCCCACCUAUCCCAACACCUGGGAGAAGACCCAGGUUUUAAGUAUUCUCCAGAAGGAUAGAAAGGUAGGAGCCUGCUGGAUCUCAGGGAGGAGAGUGUUCCAUAGGGCAUGGACUACAGCAAAAAAGUAGGCCUCCAAGGUCCCACAGAUGAUAAUGUUUAAGUUAAAAAAAAGAAGAAGACCUGAAGUGUGCCCACUCUAUCUGCUCAGGUAGGACAGAUAGAUAUCCUCAGGGAGAGGCAGUCUUGCAGAUAUGUGGAAUAUACAACAUUUUUGGUCAACGUUUCUCUUGUCUUUUUCUUCUGCUAAACUCUAUUGUCAAAUUAUUGUUAGCUCUGUCUGUUUACUUAUAUUAUUCGCAUCUGUGUCUCUUACACACAUUACUUGUGGGCAAAACAAAAAAUGUUAUUUUUUCAUAUCUGCACUGUAAGGUGAGUACAAAGAAUGUUUUUUAAAAAGCUGCUAGAAGAGUACUAUGAUCCCUAUCAAUUUUAUUUUGCAUAAUUUGUGAUUCGGUAAGUAUAAUCACUUCAUAGUUACAUUUUAAACCUAUUUUGUUUUUAUCUAAUUUUACUUAAUUCUUUUCUCCAGGUAUGUCCAAUUAUUACAGCAAUGCAAGGUAAAAGUGUUAAUCCUGUAGAAGUGUUAAUUUGUUGUUUUACUUUAUUUUUAAUAUAGCAAAAUAUCAAGGUCUCCAUAAACAUUAAUGGAGUUUUAAACAUGGAAACAGAAAAAAAAAUAAGAGCUGUUUGACAGACAAGUAUGUACAGGAUUUUUAUUUUUUAAUUAUUGUUUGCAAUUCCUGUUAAAGAUCGACAGCACUCUCCCUGCCACUUAUUCAGUCCAACUGUGUUUUUUUUUUUUUCAUGGCUAGCAUAAUUUAUCCAGAGUUUUCCCUACUGAAACUCUAGAUAUUCUUAUACAUCAAAUUACCAUUCUACAUCUGUCUGAAUUGGGUAGAUAUGCAUUCAGAUAACAUACAGCUUUCCUAGACAUUAGAAAGGGCAAGCACAGCUGAAGGGGUCUGGCUAUAUUAAAUAGAGAAAAAGAAGCAUACCACAAAUGGCCUGAUAGGAUAAGAGCUUUUAAUGACUUCUGGGGUUUCUGCCAAUUCUACUUUGUCCCUGCCUGCACUUGGCAUAUUCUGCUUCCAUCCCUAAACCUGUAUAAUUUUUACAUGAGUAUCAUAGGUCAUUUCUGCUUCAUCUUUCCAGAGAAAAUAUUAUCUCAGUAAGCUGCUUUAUUACAUCAUUUAUCUGAGAACUGAAGAGCUUGUGACAGAUUUCUGCCAGACCCGUUCCUCUGGAGAUGUAGAUGCCUUAGUAAUAUACACUUAAACUGCUGAAGUUCAACAGGUGAAGGAACCAGGUGAUGCUAAUCUUGAAACGACUGGAAAACAAGUGAAUUAUGGAAGUAAAAAGCAGAUAGAAUGGUUUACCUGCACCCCAAUUUUCCCUGGAAAAGGUAUGUGCUCUGGUGAAAAAGCAACCAGCAAAGAAAGUAGCAUUAAGAAUGGUUUGCUAAAAAUGGGAGAAAACAAAAUUCUUGUCCGAAAGAUUCAUGAAAGUCAGACUUGGUUCUGUCCUCUUAUUUGUUUCUCCCCUCUUUCAGAGCUAUCUCAUUUUGUUAAAAAAAAAA